rnacentral:rRNA from 1 species
GUUAAAAAGCUCGUAGUUGAACCUUGGUCCCGCGCCCGCCGGUCCGCCUCACCGCGUGCACUGGUGCGGCCGGGGCUUUCUCCUGGGGGUCCGCAUGCCCUUAGCUGGGCGUGCGAGGAACCAGGGCGAUUACUGUGAAAAAAUUAGAGUGUUCAAAGCAGGCCUAUGCUCGGAUACAUUAGCAUGGAAUAAUGGAAUAGGACGCGCAGUUCUAUUUUGUUGGUUAUGGGACCGCCGUAAUGAUUGAUAGGGACAGUCGGGGGCAUCAGUAUUCGGCAGUCAGAGGUGAAAUUCUUGGAUCUGCCGAAGACUAACUACCGCGAAAGCAUUUGCCAAGGAUGUUUUCAUUAAUCAGGAACGAAAGUUAGGGGAUCGAAGACGAUCAGAUACCGUCGUAGUCUUAACCAUAAACUAUGCCGACUAGGGAUCGGACGAUGUUACUUACUGACUCGUUCGGCACCUUGUGAGAAAUCAAAGUCUGUGGGUUCCUGGGGAAGUAUGGUGGCAACGCUGAAACUUAAAGAAAUUGACGGAAGGGCACCACCAGGGGUGGAGCCUGCGGCUUAAUUUGACUCAACACGGGGAAACUCACCAGGUCCAGACACAAUAAGGAUUGACAGAUUGAGAG